AGUCAAGUUUCUUAAAAAUAACGCUUGUGUCUGUCAGCGGUGACAUAACGAAGCUAGAAACGCUCCGUCGGCUUGUAGUUCUGUAACGUUUUACAGCGGUCUGCUCCCGGGUAGGAAAAAAAAACCGUGAGAGAGCUCUUUGCCGGGAUAAUUCCAUUUCGGAAACCUCCUUCGAGAUCUUCAGUCUUCUUCGAGCUGUGAGCUACUUUCUGCUGCCUGCCCAGUGUUAUGAAACAUACGUUUUUCCUGGCAUAGGUUGCUCGCUGUCUGUAGUUCCACGUGAAAGCUGCAACUUCAGUCUCACCCCGGAACGUCACCCAUCCCGUCGUAAUACAGUUAUGAGACUUAAUUGGAUGGUUCUGAGAAGUAUCUGAUUAACUAGAAAUUAUCCUUAUAUAUAAUUUGAGUCUAAGUGAUUGAGUGUCUAGUGGUUAUGACUGUCAUGAAAUAAUUGUAGUGUUAAACCAAGUGAUUGUAGGCAAACUGCAGACUCCUUUGAGCAAUUCUGCCAAUUUGUGUUUUGCCUACAAUGUUCCAAUCUUCUGAAAGGCUCUCAGCUUUGCAAAUCUGUCAGAAUUUGGGAGAAUGUGUUUGUUGUUGUGAUUCAAAUAGAGAUUUGGGAGAAGUCUGUGAUGAACAAGUACCCAGGAGUGAUCUACACCUCCGAAAACAUCAAUUUCACUCUGAAAAUGACUGGCAAACGCCAGUCCUGUAGAAUAAAGAUGCCAGCGAUGCUCUAAAAUGUGUCAGGCUUAGCUUAGGGAAUGGGAAAUGUGUGCAGCUAGUCUGCCGUGCAGAAUUUCUGCUGCCCUAAAGAAUCAGGAAAGAAAUCUUGUUUGCAGCUGGGUGUCCUGUGUGCAUCUCUGAGCUGCUGCCUGUGGGCUGAGCUGACUGCUGCAGAGCUCAGGUCCGGCAUGCGCUGUCAGAUGCACGUGGGAUUCUGAAUUUACAGAGACGCACACAGAUUAUAAUAGCAUACUACAGAGGGAGAGUUUUUUGGGGAGAUGUAAUAGAUCUUUCUGUAGUCCUGUAUUUCUCUGUGUGCAACAGAAUGCAGUCUUUGAUCCACAUGUACCAAAUAGGGAAUAUGCUUUUGCAAGACCUUUACCAGCUGCAGAAGAGAAGAUAUUGGAUGGUUGGUGUGCUUAGCCCUUGUGCUGAUCAACCUAAGAGUCCAAUGUCAGGAUCUGGGGAGUAUGUUGUGAAGGUUGUUUGAUAUAGCAUGAUUUCAAUACAAGUUUUUGUUUUAAAUGUUCUGCUUGAACAUCAAAAAUGAGCACUUAAUCAGAUCCUCUCA
ensembl:lncRNA